UACGUAGGGUGCGAGCGUUAAUCGGAAUUACUGGGCGUAAAGCGUGCGUAGGCGGUUCGUUAUGUCUGCUGUGAAAGCCCCGGGCUUAACCUGGGAAUGGCAGUGGAAACUGGCGGGCUUGAGUGUGGCAGAGGGGGAUGGAAUUCCGCGUGUAGCAGUGAAAUGCGUAGAGAUGCGGAGGAACACCGAUGGCGAAGGCAGCCCCCUGGGCUGACACUGACGCUGAGGCACGAAAGCGUGGGGAGCAAACAGG
rnacentral:rRNA from 1 species